UGUGUGUUUGUGUUGUUUCAGGACCGAGUUCCCUCCCUUCACAUCUGAAAGAGGGUUCAAACCUCAGCGAGGGAAAACGCGCCACACUGCAUUUCCAUCCGAGCUCAGGAGAGCCGGAGGGUCGGCCGUGCUGUCCGCGGACUCGGCCCGGAGCGGAGCGGAGCGGCGCGGCGGAGGAAUACUCCAGCCUCCCCCUAAAGCCCGAGCGCUGGUCAGAUUAAAGCGUGGCACAGUAAACAGAGCGCCUCUAGCUCGGCUCGGGACCAACCUGGGGAGUAAUGACCUCCCAGCGGAGCCACCCAAUCCUGUAACCAAUGGCAACAGUCCAGGCCCUGCCUUUGACCCGAGACCCCAACAAGAGCAUCGGCUCCCUUUUCCCGGCAUCCUCUCUGAAGUCUGCUGACUGCAUCAUGGGAAGUGUGGGCAGUUUGAUCGAGAAUCCGGACUCUCCCACCAAAAGCAGCAGGGCGGUUCCUCAGGUGCCAGAGCGACAGAGCAACGGGCUGCUGAAGAAGGGCUUCAACCAGAGAGAGCUGCUCAAUUACCUCAACAUCACCAAGAAAGAGUCGAAAGGAGGCAAGCACAUCAUCUCCGGGACCUCCUCCAUCAAGAGGGAGCAUUCCAGCGAGGAGGAGAACAUCUACGCCAAGGUCUACCACAAAGACGGCAGAGAGGUGGACAUGGGCAAAAACUCGCUCCCCAUUGGUGGAAAGUUUGACAAGCCUCGUCUCAGGCCAUCUGCUUUCAAGCCGGUCACUCCAAAGAACUUCAGCUCUGUGCAGAAUCUUUACCCGUCCAAGUCAGAGGAGCUGGCAAACGGCAGCAAAACUGCAUCCAAAUCGCUGUCCACAUCUUCCUCCUCCUCGUCUCCCUCGCGUGGGGCCACCAGCGCCAAUAAGGGCGUCCUGGCCACGCCUCGUGCCCUCAGCCAGGAGGCCGAAGAAACGGCCUCUGAUUCGGGACACAACUCCAUGAGCAGCCUGCCGCCGUACCGCCCGCCCUACCGGCCGCACCUGGCCCACAUCAGCGCCUCCAUGGGUCACAUCGACCACAUCGGCUCGCUGGACCGGGCCUCUCUGGGCUCGGGCGGUGGCAGCGGGCCAGCAGGACGCAGCAUGGCCACUCUCGGCCGCCUGCAGGGAUACAGCAGUGGCAGUGAGGCUCCACCGCCUUACGAGCUGUCUCGAUCGUUGGAGGAGGUGGUGAGGGAGCUGGAGGAGCGGCUGCAGGAGAAAGAGCACGAGCUGCGGCAGAUGCGGAGGAACCUGGACGAGAGCGAGGACGCCAUCGCACAGGUGUUUGAGGGGAAGCAGCGUCUGUGGGAGAAGGAGGUGGCGGAGCUGAAGCAGCUGUACGCCACUAAACUGCGGCAGGUUUCCCAGCAGUCUCAGCGCUCUCAGCGCACCCUGCAGCUGCAGCUGUAUAAGGCGCAGCAGGAGCGCAGCCGGCUGCAGGACGAGCUCCAGACCCUGCGCCUCGAGUGCCAGAGCCUGCAGGACCGCGGAGCCACGGCAGGCAGCCAUGAGCUCCACCCACAGCUGGAGGAGACCCAAUGGGAGGUGUGUCAGAAGACGGGGGAGAUUUCCCUGCUGAAGCAGCAGCUGAGGGACUCCCAGGCAGAGGUGACACAGAAGCUGAGUGAGAUUUUCCUGCUGAAGACUCAGCUGAGGGAGACUCGAGGCGAGGUGAGAGCCAGGGACAGCCAGAUCGACCUCCUGCAGCUGGCCCUGCAGACCGAACGGCGCAAAGGUGCCGCGUAUGAGGAUGGCCAGGCCCAGGAGAGCCGAGCGGCAUCCGGAGCUACAGAGGAGCGCCUGAGGGCGGAGCUGCUGCUGGAGCGACGACAGAGCGAAGCCCAGGCCUCGGCCUUCGAGGCAGAGCGCAACACCUGGCAGCUGGAGAAGGAGAAGGUGAUUCGCUACCAGAGGGAGCUGCAGGCCAGCUACCUGGAGAUGUACCGCAGGAACGAGAGCCUGGAGAAAGAACUGAGGCUGCUCAGAGGGGACGGGGCCGGAGCGGGUCGGGGUGGGGAUGGAGGCACGGCUUCAGAGGAGGAAGACAGACCGCCUUCCGGGCUUCCCUGGAUCGAAAGGAUCGAGUCCUCUGAGAUCUGAGUGUCUGUAUAGAGUCCAGAAGAAAAGUGCUGCAUUUAAUUGGCUUCCAGUGUCUUUCUACAUGUAUAAAAUACCACAUCAGCACAGUUUUGUCAGGCACUGCAGCCGGGAACUCACCAAAACUGUGCUGGCUCCCUUCAGGACCAGAAGUGGAGACCCCAGGUUUAUAGUAAUCCAACCAACAGGCUCCAAAUGAGCGAGCUGAUGCUGAAAGACGAAGGCGGCCCUCAAGCUGAGCCGUUUGCUCAGAGCGUCACACUUCUUGAGACAUUUCUAUUUAAAAUAAUGUACUGCGUUUUGUCUCGUCUCGUAAACCAAAAUGCGUAAGACACCUGAGAGAUUAUUCCGGAUGGAUGCAAAGGGAUGUUAUUUUCAUUAAAGGGAUGUCGUCCUGGUGUUUUUCUAAGACUCCGUUCCGUUGGCACAGACCUGUAAGGAGCCGGUUUGGUUAGUCAUGUUUCUAUUGAACUGUUUAGAUCUUGAUGAUGCAGAGUUGCAGUAAUACUCACUACAGUGGGAGGAGAAAAGGAAAUCUGCCCAGCAUCCAUGCACUGUAGGCUGUUUACUGUCAUUCGUAUCCUGUUCUAAGGAUUGUUUCAUGGCUGUUGGAGGUAAAUCUAAAACAGAUACUGUAUAACAUCACACCGAUUUAUUCAUUCAGUCACUCUCCGUAUGCAGAGGCAGUCAGGGUGAGACUUAAGAAGUGAGGAUGUCCUUCAGUCUGAGUUCCACGACAGGCAUGUUGCACUUUAAAGAAACUGGAAAUCAUCAGUUUUUCACAUCGGAGGAGGAGGAAAAGGAGGAUGCGCUUUUCUACUGAGCUGUCCCUUAAAGGGGUACUUCACCCAAAAUGACUGGAACACUUUAUUUGUGUAUUUAAAGGAAUAGUUUGGUGCAAACAAGUGAGUUUUCCACUCACCCCAGAUGUGGUUGAUCAGCCAAGACAGGUCCCACCUCUGUAGUUUAGAGCUGGAUCUCCAAGCUUAACAUUGCUAACAAACACUAGAAGUCAAUAGUCCCCCAGAUCUUUUCUGUGAAUGCAUUAAGGUCGUGCAGACUUGUGGAUGUGGUCAGUGUGAUGUACUGAGCUGUAAAGAUGACCAAAACCUCACUGUAUAGCUGUACACAGAAAAUAUUUGGGUGACUAUUGGCUUCUAGUGUUGGGGAGCAUCAUUAGCUUUGUAGCCCCAGUGUGGACAAGCGAAAAGUGAAAUGAGGACACCCAAAAUGACCCAUCUGGACGGAGUGGAAAACUGUUCAAAUGAAUGGUUAAGAAGAGACGCAUCGCUGCUGGCGGAAAUCUCCAUUCUUGUCGUUUUUCAGUUUUUGACGUAUUUUAAAAAAGCCUGUUUUCCUUCACGUUGUGUGUCAGUUUCAUGAUGAACGGACCAAAAUGGCUCAGAAUUAUUUGGAGAAAAUUCUGGUUCCAUUGAUUUUCAUUAAAAGUAAAGUGUGUUUGUUCUUCCUCCUGUAAAGUUGCCAUUUGGGAGAUACGAGGUUUUCUUCCGACAGCAGCGACGUACUAAUAAACAUUGUUUUAUGUCAUAAAUGUGCCUGAGUUGAUCUUAAUUUACUGCAUUUAUCUGUUCCCUUUAGGCACAAUGUCUUUUAAAAAUAGUAACGUUACUUCCACAAACACAGAAAUGCACACAGGAUCGACCAAACCUGGAUUUCACCUGAGAGACCCCUUUAAUGCAGUGGAUCUCAGUCUCAGUCCUGCACAUCAGUCAGAUCAGGGAAGCAGGGAUGGGUGCGAUGAUUCAGUCCUGAUGUGCAGUUUGGAAUAAAAAGGUAAAUAAACAGGGCGCAUGGAUUCUGACUGACAUGGUGUAGAACCGACGAGACACAAGCAGCUCAUCUAGACCUCUGACCUCUGUGUGACGUCAUGCCUAUAUUAGGAAGACUUGGCCUAAGACAGGGCUGUCCAGUCUUAUCCGCUAAGGGCUGGUGUGGCUGCAGGUCAACCAAGCAGAAUGGACACCCCUGGUCACCCUCGUCACACACUGCGGUAAACAAAAGUGUUCAUAUAUAGUCACACAUUUUUCCUCAAAGCAUCACUGGAUACUCUGAAUUACGGUGUUUAGCAGUCAAAUCCACACCUGCUCGUGCUACACUACACAGACGGUCCUUUAAAGGUUCUUUAGUAAAGAAAAUGGUUCUAUAUAGAACUAAGAACAGUCAAAGGACCCUUUGUAUCAUGAAAGGGUUCUUCAGAUUGAUGACGAAUGUGCUGUUCUGUACUGAACCGUUUCAGAAAGGGUUCUUCUGUUGUUAGGAUGUCGAGCUCGGCACAACAGAAGAACCCUUUUUGGUGUUAUUUAGAACCAUAUACUUCAGCAAGAACCAUUUCAUGAUGCAAAGAACCCUUUCAGCAUGCAAAUGGUUCUUUCAGUGUUGGUGGUUUUAUAUAGAAUCAUCAACUUUACUAAAGAACCUUUGGAGAGCCACUUUUUUUGUAGGAGUGUAUGACUACAAGCAAGUUAACGCUCUUCAUGAAAGUCCACAAUUACAGCUCCUCAAGCUGUAGCCUAAAACUGCCAGAGGCACUUCACUAGCCAGUGUGGCAGCGCUUGGUGGUUUGCUUGGGCUAUAUUGUCAGGGUCAUGUCGGUUCAGUGUAAAGCAGUGUUGCUUGCAUUUUAGCAACAUUAAUAUUUUGACUCUUUAAGGACCACAGAAAAUGUGAAAAACGGGUCUGGAACACGCCGUUUACAGCUGGGCCCAGCAGGGCAUGCUAUUCAUUUCUCCCAUUAGUAAAAACAGCCCAGACCCAGAGUUCCUUAUAUGAGCAAGGUCCCAAUUGUAGAACGUCAACACAGCGUCAGAGGUCUGAUGUGAACUGGGGACCCUCCAGGCCAAAGUGCUGUAGAGAUCAGAAUUUACCCCCGUCUAACGCUCUGAAUUCAGGUCGUGAAAGCCUUGCUAAUUAGCUGAUGAGCUGAAUCGUGACAGGGUGCUGAAGUCUGCAGUGUUUUGACCCGUGAGGACUGGAGCCUGAACCUAGCAGCUGAGACCGAGACUGAGAACUACCGCCACAGUAUAUAUCAUUUCACCAUGUGAAGUGGACGAUCAUGGUGUCGUCACGCUUAUAUACAGAACUGCUGAAAUACGCUCAUCAGGAAGAACAGAUCUAGUUCCCAUGUUUCUAGAUGUAGAUAAGCCAAUAGUGCUAUGAUAUGUUAACUACUGGAGUCGAUAAUGGACUUGCCUGACCGAUUAUCCUUUUUCUUACGUAAUAAAGGUAAAUAUUUGUCUUCUGACCGGUUCCAUUUGUUUCCUUACUGUUAAUCAUUAAGUAAUGUAAAAAUGGUGCUUGGAAAAUGACUGGAUUCUUUAUAGCUCACUUGAUGUACAGUCGAUUUACAUGACACUUCAUAUUUAAUCGGACACAGUACCGUGCAAAUUAAAUUUUUUUAUU